rnacentral:lncRNA from 1 species
AUGCCAAUGUGGGACAUGGAUAUUCCAAGUGACAUCCUAACUGCUACUUCAGUGCCUACCUCUGGCCUUGGAUCUCCUUGGACAUCACGGGCCUGCAGGAGUAGCCCACCUUUCACUGAUGCAAUUCAUCUGCUUUUGAAGACAAGCAUUGUUUGUCACCGAGAUUGGACAAAAUGAGGUCAGAUUGCUGGGACUGAUAUCUGUCAUUUAACUGCCAAUGCAUGUUAACAAAUUUGAUGGAGAACACCUGCUUUUCUUAGUCAUCUGUUUGAGAAAAUUUUGUUUCUCUUGCCUUUGAAGUCACAGCUAGUAAGAAGGUAGGUAAUGAGAAAAAUAUAAUUUAUCUAAGCACUCAUUAGACAAAUUUUUCAGAUGUAAUUAACAAUAUCUUUUUAAUGAAUAAAGUAUAUUUUCAUAUGCUCA